GCGGUGGGCCCAGCCUGCCGCCAGAGGUCUAAACUUACAACCAAUUUUUUAUCAACUUGUCACACCAGAUUAUUACUAAUAGUCAAAACUUUCAACAACGGAUCUCUUGGUUCUCGCAUCGAUGAAGAACGCAGCGAAAUGCGAUACGUAAUAUGAAUUGCAGAUAUUCGUGAAUCAUCGAAUCU
rnacentral:rRNA from 1 species